AGUGAACGCUGGCGGUAGACCUAACACAUGCAAGUCGAACGGCAGCACAGGAGAGCUUGCUCUCUGGGUGGCGAGUGGCGGACGGGUGAGGAAUACAUCGGGAUCUACUCUGUCGUGGGGGAUAACGUAGGGAAACUUACGCUAAUACCGCAUACGACCUACGGGUGAAAGCAGGGGACCUUCGGGCCUUGCGCGAAUGAAUGAGCCGAUGUCGGAUUAGCUAGUUGGCGGGGUAAAGGCCCACCAAGGCGACGAUCCGUAGCUGGUCUGAGAGGAUGAUCAGCCACACUGGAACUGAGACACGGUCCAGACUCCUACGGGAGGCAGCAGUGGGGAAUAUUGGACAAUGGGCGCAAGCCUGAUCCAGCCAUACCGCGUGGGUGAAGAAGGCCUUCGGGUUGUAAAGCCCUUUUGUUGGGAAAGAAAUCCAGCUGGCUAAUACCCGGUUGGGAUGACGGUACCCAAAGAAUAAGCACCGGCUAACUUCGUGCCAGCCGCCGCCGUAA
rnacentral:rRNA from 1 species